rnacentral:rRNA from 1 species
AUGUCAAAGUCGUGCAAGGGGCUAGCCAUGGAGCUCGUCAAGUGCCUCAGCGAGACCGACUGCGUCAAGGUGCAGAAGAGGCCGUACAAGGAGUGCGCGGGGGAGAAGGCGCCCAACAUCACCAGCGAGUGCGUCGGCCUGCGGGAGACCUACUUCAACUGCAAAAGGGGCCAGGUUGACAUGCGAGCCCGGAUACGUGGGAACAAGGGGUAUUGA